GAGACACAAUCCGCAGCCCCUGGGUCUGUGCAGUGACCAGCCAGUCCCCUGAGAACUUUCUCCUCCAGCACCCUGGAAAAUGGGAUUUUUGCUCCUUGUAAUUUUUGCUGUAGCAGCUUUGGAAGGUGUCCGGUCCCAGGUGCAGCUGGUGGAGUCCGGAGGGGAUGUGAAAAAGCCCGGAGACUCUCUCCGCCUCUCCUGCAAAGCCUCCGGGUUCACCUUCAGCAGCUAUCGUAUGUACUGGAUCCGACAGGCUCCUGGCAAGGGACUAGAAUGGGUUGCUUAUAUAAGCGGCAGUAAGGUUAUUAUACGUUACCUUGAUUCAGUGAAAGGCCGAUUCACCAUCUCCAAAGAUAAUUCCAAGAGUGAGCUGUAUCUGCAAAUGACCGGCCUGAAGCCCGAGGACACCGCCCGCUAUUACUGUGCGAGACACAGUGAAACGAAACUGGUUUGUGAUCAUACAAAAACCCAGGCUGCAGAAUUGCCCUUCUCCUGGCAGCCGCACGGGGGGAGCACACGGCUCUGGGCUGAAACAGGAGACUCAGCAACCGGGUGA